GGUGGGGGACGAGCCUGAACCGUUGACUCAGCCUGUUUGGCCACUUCAGGUGAGCAACGUUUCUGGUGAGUGCCCUGCC